UACGUAGGGGGCUAGCGUUGUCCGGAAUCAUUGGGCGUAAAGCGCGUGUAGGCGGCCCGGUAAGUCCGCUGUGAAAGUCGGGGGGCUCAACCCUCGGAUGCCGGUGGAUACUGUCGGGCUUGAGUACGGAAGAGGCGAGUGGAAUUCCUGGUGUAGCGGUGAAAUGCGCAGAUAUCAAGGAGGAACACCGAUUGCGAAGGCAGGCUCGCUGGGACGUAACUGACGCUGAGACGCGAAAGCGUGGGAGCAAACAGG
rnacentral:rRNA from 1 species